UCAAUAUAAAAAUCUACAUCUGGCUACGUCAAUUUUGCAACAGUUUGCCAACUUGUUACAAAAGAUUUGAAAGGUAUUUUAUCUUCAACAGAAUCUAAAACCAAAUGAAUAUUUCGAAGUGGUUAAACAAAAUGCUCAUGGGUUUGGUUGCCAAUUCAUGUACUAAUCACAAAUCAAGAACUACUUGGUUUCUAUCCAAGUGGACAUUUUCAUUGGCUUGGGUAUUAAGCAUCGAAAGUCUCUU
rnacentral:lncRNA from 1 species